rnacentral:lncRNA from 1 species
GCCAUGGGAGCUAACUAAGGAUGAGACCCAAAUGCGUGUUGGUUGGCACAAAAAAAAUGUAGCGUAUGCCGUCAGAGAAGCCACAACAAAAACAACUGCCCUUUGCGUCCCCAGCCAACAAAAACAACAGACCAAACAGUAGAAACUCAACCAUCACAGGCACCUCCAAGUAGCCAAUCUCUUGUACCAUCACAGGCACCACCAAGUACCCAAUCUCCUACAGCAUCACAGGCACCACCAAGUCCCCGAUCACCC